rnacentral:rRNA from 1 species
UAACGGCUCACCAAGGCGACCAUCGGUAGCUGGUCUGAGAGGAUGAUCAGCCCAUCACAGGGAUUGAGAACGGCCCAGACUCCUACGAGGGGCAGCAGUGAGGAAUUUUCCGCAAUGGACGAAAGUCUGACGGAGCAACGCCUCGUGCAGGAUGACGGCCUUCGGGUUGUAAACUGCUUUUCUGAGAGACGAGCAAGGACGGUAUCUCAGGAAGAAGCCCCGGCUAACUACGUGCCAGCAGCCGCGGUAAUACGUAGGGGGCAAGCGUUGUCCGGAGUUACUGGGCGUAAAGCGCUCGCAGGCGGUGAUGUACGUAGAGGGUUCCAGCCAUCGGCUUAACCGAUGGGAGUGCUCGCUAAACGGCAUGACUUGAGGGCUAGAGAGGGGACAUGGAACUCCUGGUGGAGUGAUGUAAAUG